CGCACCCGCGAGCUGGCUCCGGCGCCUCAUAUUUCUGUCCCUGCAUCGCGUCGUUGCCUGCACGCACUCUCUUGCUUGUGGGGACUGGCGACUUCGCUUCUUGGAUUCUUCUGGCUGCUUUAGAGUGUGCUUUGUUUGUAUUAGGGCCCAGAGGCGCUGAAAGAAUGCAGUUCCAGCAGAGAGAGAUUUGGGGUGGAGGAAGUAAAACGUGUGUAGGCCCGGCAGGUGGUGCUGCUCAAAAAUCCAGCUUUGCUAUCCGGAGGAAGUCCUGGGGCGCCUAGCCGAGUUUCGGCUUGAAGAUCACUUAGCAAAAGAAAAUGAAGACGAUGGAAGAGCAGACCUUUUAUCUUUAAAAGAGUAUAUAUUUCAACAUUCUGUGACAGUGUCUUCUCGCAUUUGGAAUUUCAUUAACUGAUUCAGGAUUGGAAGUUUUCAGUGCCCUUACAGGUGCUUAUGGUUCUUGGGCCUUCAGACAUGACUGGGACUUACAUCAUUGGUUUCCCUGGUUCUCGGACUUUUGGGGUUGGAUUGAAACUACACUACUGGCUUCCUGGGCCUCCAGCUUGCAGAUGGCAGAUGGUGGGACUUCUCAGCUUCCAUAAUUGUAUGAGCCACUCCCUCAUAAUAAAUCAUUUUCUAUAUAUGUAUUUAUAGCCAUUUUGUUCUGUUUUCUGAAGAACCCUGACUAAUACACCAGUUGUCCCUGACUUCCAUUGAGGGGCCAUGACAUUCUGGGAAACAGUACUUCAUUCUUGUAAGUGGAGCAUGUAAAAUAGAUGAAGUCAGUGAGUGCAUACCAACCCCUGAGCUAGUGACUAUAAAGAUGUGACCAUUUGACCUCUGUCACCAUAUGAAAUUCCCGAACUUUUGUAAAUAAUUUGAGAUACAGACUCUCUUCUCCUCUGGUUAGCAGCAAGUGCAGGUGUCACACCUGGAGCUGGCUCAUUCAUAUUGCUACUGUGAAGAAUGCCACUUGCAGUUGAAACUGAUACAUGAAGAACAGCGGGACUAAGAGAAUGGGGGGGCCUCAUUAAAGCACAAUUAAAAGCUGUCUUUUCUCUGAACUUCUCAAUUAUGUGAGCUUAUACAACCUCAAUAUUGUUUAAGUCAGUUUGAGUUAGCUUUUCAUGUAGUAUUCACAACAAGAAACAUCCUUAUAUAUGUUACAGGUCCUAGGUCUGGCUACAAAUAGUUUCAUACUCUAGCUAUAAACUUUCACAUUUCUAGCUUUCCUACUUUCUCAGUCCUACUAGACUAUUAAAAAUAAAAGAAACAUUUGAAGAAAAAAA